AAUAUUGCGCAAUGGAGGAAACUCUGACGCAGCGACGCCGCGUGAGCGAUGAAGGUCUUCGGAUCGUAAAGCUCUGUCCUUGGGGAAGAAGGUCUUCGGACUUGACGGUACCCCUGGAGGAAGCCCCGGCUAACUACGUGCCCGCACCCGCGGUCAUACGUAGGGGGCAAGCGUUGUCCGGAAGUAUUGGGCGUAAAGGGUGCGUAGGCGGCCUUUUAAGUCAGAUGUGAAAGCCCACGGCUCAACCGUGGGAUUGCAUUUGAAACUGGAGGGCUUGAGUAUCGGAGAGGGUAGUGGAAUUCCCAGUGUAGCGGUGAAAUGCGUAGAUAUUGGGAGGAACACAAGUGGCGAAGGCGACUACCUGGACGAUUACUGACGCUGAUGCACGAAAGCUAGGGGAGCAAACA
rnacentral:rRNA from 1 species